rnacentral:rRNA from 1 species
UGGGGAAUAUUGGACAAUGGGCGAAAGCCUGAUCCAGCAAUGCCGCGUGUGUGAAGAAGGCCUUCGGGUUGUAAAGCACUUUUGUCCGGAAAGAAAUCCUUGGCUCUAAUACAGUCGGGGGAUGACGGUACCGGAAGAAUAAGCACCGGCUAACUACGUGCCAGCAGCCGCGGUAAUACGUAGGGUGCAAGCGUUAAUCGGAAUUACUGGGCGUAAAGCGUGCGCAGGCGGUUUGCUAAGACCGAUGUGAAAUCCCCGGGCUCAACCUGGGAACUGCAUUGGUGACUGGCAGGCUAGAGUAUGGCAGAGGGGGGUAGAAUUCCACGUGUAGCAGUGAAAUGCGUAGAGAUGUGGAGGAAUACCGAUGGCGAAGGCAGCCCCCUGGGCCAAUACUGACGCUCAUGCACGAAAGCGUGGGGAGCAAACAGGAUUAGAUACCCUGGUAGUCCACGCCCUAAACGAUGUCAACUAGUUGUUGGGGAUUCAUUUCCUUAGUAACGUAGCUAACGCGUGAAGUUGACCGCCUGGGGAGUACGGUCGCAAGAUUAAAACUCAAAGGAAUUGACGGGGUCAUAGCUGUUUCCU